CGUUAGGGUGUUUUGACGCGAAGGUGUCCAAGUAUACGCGAGUACCGAACCGCCUGAGAAAUUUCAUACACAUAAGUUCGCGAUAUUACGAUAUAGUACAAGUAAAUAAUUAUAGGUUUAAUACAGCAGGAACAAUUAAUAGUGCGUUUCGACUUGACAUUAUGUUGGUCCUCGUCGACUGAUUAAAUCCGUUUUUGCCGGUCGUCAUAAUACAUCUGAGAAUUUUCGAACAAGUGUGUUAAGUGGGGAAUCGUCGUCUUAGGUUGACUUACACGCGAUAUUGAUCAACAUCUCCGUUAAUAAUUUAAUUGCCAAAAAUGAAUAGCAUUGACAUCAUCUAAUCCCAUCAUAUUGCAGCUGAAGGUUUGUUUAAUCCUUGAAUAAGGCAAGUUCCACCUAAAACUGGGUUAUAACUAGGCUGUUCACGUCCAAAGCACAAAGCGUGGUUAGUACAAUAAUAUAAACGCACUCAAUAAUUGUGUCCACUCAACGACGGUCCAUAUAGAUGAAGAAUAGGAAAAGGAGGCAAGUGAAAAUUCAUAUUUUUAACACGUUUGGUUACUCAAUAAAUACUUCAUGUUUCAUAAAUUAGUUUAAAUAGGUAUAUAGAAGUCUGGGUCGUAAAUUUUUUGCAGCAUUGUAGUAAUUUAAAUUAUCAUGUGGCUUCUCUAACUAUCUAAAAUGAGAUUGUCGUAUAGAAUUCGAUUUCGUUUUAUUCAAUAUUUAACUA